GAAACGCGAUAGUUAAUGUGAAUUGCAGAAUUCAGUGAAUCAUCGAGUCUUUGAACGCACAUUGCGCCUUUUGGUAUUCCGAGAGGCACGCCUGUCUGAGCGUCAGUAAUACCUUCGGUUUGACGAUUUAUUGUCUCGCCGGCGUUGGCGGUUUUGGGUAACCGCGGGGCAACCCGCGGCCAUUCCGUUUAAACACUGACAGCGGUCGAGUUCUUACCCCCCACCGAUUAGUAGAAAUAUUUAUCGUUCAAGGAUUUGAAACUCUUCGCAAUACAAAAUAGGGAUCUAAUCCCAUAAUUUUGACCUCAGAUCAGACGAGGAUACCCGCUGAACUUAA
rnacentral:misc_RNA from 1 species